rnacentral:rRNA from 1 species
GACGAACGCUGGCGGCGUGCUUAACACAUGCAAGUCGAGCGGAGCGGCGAACGGGUGAGGAACGCGUGAGUAACUUCCCCCCCCUCUGGGCUGACAGUUGGCAACGGCAGCUAAUACCGGAUAGUGGGGGAUGAUGCGCGUCAUAUCCGCUUGUUGUUGGGGUAGUGGCCUACCAAGGCGAGGACGGGUAGCCGGCCUGGGAGGGCGACCGGCCACAAUGGGCUGGGAUACGGCCCAAGCUGCUACGUGGGGCAGCAGUGAGGACUGUGGGACAAUGGGGGAAACCGUGAUGCAGGAACGCCGCGUGCGAGAUGACGGCCUUCGGGUUGUAAACCGCUUUCAGCCAUGACGCGGUAGUGGCAGAAGAAGCACCGGCUAACUACGUGCAAGAAGCCGGGGUAAAC